rnacentral:rRNA from 1 species
UACGGGGGGGGGCAAGCGUUGUUCGGAAUUACUGGGCGUAAAGGGCUCGUAGGCGGCCAACUAAGUCAGACGUGAAAUCCCUCGGCUUAACCGGGGAACUGCGUCUGAUACUGGAUGGCUGAGUUUGGGAGAGGGAUGCGGGAUUCCAGGUGUAGCGGUGAAAUGCGUAGAUAUCUGGAGGAACACCGGUGGCGAAGGCGGCAUCCUGGACCAACACUGACGCUGAGGCACGAAGGCCAGGGGAGCAAACGGG